rnacentral:rRNA from 1 species
CCUACGGGUGGCAGCAGUGGGGAAUAUUGGACAAUGGGCGAAAGCCUGAUCCAGCCAUGCCGCGUGUGUGAAGAAGGCCUUCGGGUUGUAAAGCACUUUCAGUGGGGAAGAAAGCCUUGGGGCUAAUACCCUCGAGGAAGGACAUCACCCACAGAAGAAGCACCGGCUAACUCCGUGCCAGCAGCCGCGGUAAUACGGAGGGUGCGAGCGUUAAUCGGAAUUACUGGGCGUAAAGCGCGCGUAGGCGGUCUGAUAAGCCGGUUGUGAAAGCCCCGGGCUCAACCUGGGAACGGCAUCCGGAACUGUCAGGCUAGAGUGCAGGAGAGGAAAGUAGAAUUCCCGGUGUAGCAGUGAAAUGCGUAGAGAUCGGGAGGAAUACCAGUGGCGAAGGCGGCCUUCUGGACUGACACUGACGCUGAGGUGCGAAAGCGUGGGUAGCAAACAGGAUUAGAUACCCGUGUAGUC